UGGCCUUGACAUAGUAAGAACUUUUUAGAGAUAAAUUGGUGCUAGUUUACUAGAGCUUACAUACAGGUGCUGCACGGCUGUCGUCAGCUCGUGUCGUGAGAUGUUGGGUUAAGUCCCGCAACGAGCGCAACCCUCGUGUUUAGUUACUAACAGUUAGGCUGAGGACUCUAAACAGACUGCCUGGGUAACCAGGAGGAAGGUGAGGACGACGUCAAGUCAUCAUGGCCCUUACGGCCAGGGCUACACACGUGCUACAAUGGGGUAUACAAAGAGCCGCGAUACCGUGAGGUGGAGCAAAUCUCAUAAAAUAUCUCCCAGUUCGGAUUGAAGUCUGCAACUCGACUUCAUGAAGUUGGAAUCGCUAGUAAUCGUAAAUCAGCAAUGUUACGGUGAAUACGUUCCCGGGUCU
rnacentral:rRNA from 1 species